rfam:Myotis brandtii contig306320, whole genome shotgun sequence.
GGCUGGGUAGCUCAGUUAGUUAGAGCAUUGUUCUGAUACACCAAGGUUUCGGUUUUGAUCCCCAGUCA